rnacentral:lncRNA from 9 species
GCCAGAAGUCCCUGGCAAGCUCCAGGAUGGGCCACCUUUGAUUCAGGCUCCGUCCCGGGUGAAGUCAGCCGCGGCUGAGACGUGGAGGGCCGGAGGGAGAGACACCACCACAGAAAGUAUGGCUGCCUGAUGAGCCCAUUGGGUCAGCAGAGCCUGUGGGCAGGUUCAAAGGUACCCCCCUUUCAUUGGACUUGUCUCUGAAAACAGACACUUUCAUACUGGGGUAGAAAACACAAAUUCCUGCCGACGGGCAAUAUAAAUGAGUACAGCAGUCUGGUAUAAUGCAGUGGGAAACGGUGGCUCCAGCAAUUGUUAACGUGAGGAAAUGUUGCCAGAGCUUUUGCUUUUUAACGAGAAGCUGUAAGUACGGAUUUUAGUGUGAAGUUCCUGAGUUUUAUGACUCCACCAAACUCGUCUCUUCAAGCCAAACCAAACUUAUCUGUGGGCCGUAUCAGCCCUGCAGGCUGGCAGUUGGCAGGUCCUACUUUAAAAACUCAUGUGCAGGGCAGAUCUCCUGAAAGAAGGGAAAUGACUUCUGAGCCACUGGCCCAUCAUUACAAUUCCUUUCCUUUCACUCUAGCUUUUGCACACGAGCCCCUCUUUUGGUAUUGGCGACUAAUUAAAACAAGUAACCGGCUUUGGGUUGUUCUGAGAUGAACACUUGCUUUCGCCUCAUUUCAGAACCCUUCCAACUUCUUGCCCAAGGUGCCCCGAUACUACCUUCAACUAGGAGGAGACAAGGCUCGAGGGGCAUCUUAGUGUGAGGCUUCAUAAAAGGUCAAUUUGGGGAUAUGAUCCCUUGUUCAUGACCUUCUCCUCCAGUUUCUCGAAGACCACCCAGGCCUCUGGCUCGAAGGUCCAGCCAGGACUAAGGGCCAGCUGGGUAAUCAGAAUAACCAAACCUCCUGCCCCGGGACCUGUGGAAGGUAGAUUGUGCACGGUUGGUCAGAGAAGCCUGAACAAUGGGCAUGUCUUGUGCCCGGGGAGGCAGUGGCCAGAUGGAGAGGGGAAACCCGAGUACCGAGUUGACGAAGUUGUUCACAGGACUGAUCACGCUUCACUGAAAAUUCUCUACGAUGCCCAGUGGUUAUGGCAAAUUUCCAGGGGCCACGAGUCUUGGCUGUUCCUUCCAGCAGAGAACAAAACUAGUCCACAAGGUAUUUGCCUCGAAGCUCCCAUGACCGAGAGAAAUUUCCAAAUGGCAGCAUUUCUGGUUUCCUUCAUCCACUCAUUCCGAGUAUUUACUAGGGGAUGGGAUGUGCCAACACAGUGAUGAGCAGAACAGAUGAGGACUGAAUGAUCAGGUGCAGGCAUCACUGGCAGCAGCGUAAGCCAACAUCCGAAGGCCUCGUCCCAGAAAACAGGGAGGAUUCAUUUCAAGCUCUAAGACCGACUGAAGCCUGGCACUCCCUGACAAAUGCAUUCCAGCUGGUUUCAAUCCACACGAGACACCAGUGUGUGUGUGUGUGUGUGUGUUGUGUGUGUGCGCGUGUGUGCGUGUGUGUGUGCGCGCGCGCGCGUGUGUACGUGUGUUUAUGUAUCAGCAUAGUAAAGAAAAGGCACUUGGGAAGCUGCAGACUUCCAUCUCAUCUCUCUUUUGCUCCGCAGCUCUCUCCCAGAGAGGAAGAUGCAUUAAAUGUCAGAGAAGACGUUAACUCUGGGCGGUCCAAGGAGAUGAGGUAGGUAACUGGCUUUUGCACACGGGAAUUGAGAUUAUCAGAACACCUAAUUAGAAGAGAUUCUGUUAAGCUCUUCCUGCCAACUUUCCUAUAGAUAAUGGUCAAGUCGUGGGGCUGUGCGUGGUCUGGACCUUGAGGGAAGCAGAUGGCCACAGCCUCCCUGGCGUGACGCCCCCUUCCAGUUAGCAGACUCUAAGUAAACAACUGAUUUCACUAAUCUCAGAGGCCUCCCUCUGGUGUCUGGUAAGCACAGCCUUGCUCUCAGCAUUUGCCUCUUUUCCGUGGCUCCCUUAUGAAAUGUGAUGGGAGCUGCAGAGUUGGAAGGACAAAGGAACUGACUGAGUAAGUGUAAUUUAUUAUCCAGGAUUGUUUUCAACCUUUUCCCAAUUAUACACAUUUUGCUUUUGGCUUCGGUGGACCUGGGUUUAUGAGGCUGUUCUUCUGGCCACUAAUGGGCUGAAAAAAAAAAGGGCCCCCAGUAUUCCCUUAGGGAUGUGUUACUGGCCUUUAGUAAUCUGCCUAUGGCAUUAGCUCUGUUGAAUGCAGUUAAUUAAAUGAGAAAACUAAUAACUGACUCCUGCUUCUCCCCCACUGUCUGCCCUCCCACCCUCCACACACCAAAGCUUUAUAUGGGCUUAUUUCAAUUAGGGACCAGAAAGUUCUCAGCCCAACAGAGAUGGAAGCCCAGACAGGGUUGGGUGCUCUCACUGGAAUUUGUUUAUUUGUUCUCACCCGCUGGAGAAAAAUAAUGGGCUUAGCAAAGAGAGAGGGCGAGUUGUGGGGCAAAAAAACAAUGGCUGGGUGACAGGGACCCUGCUUUAGGGUCCAGGGUUGGAGGCUGAUUUAAAGUGUGACCUUGAACAAAUGAGGUAUCUCAUUGCAUUUCCGGUUCCCCACCUGUAAAUGGGAGAAAAAUGAAGCCCCUCCUUCUUGUCUGUUGGGCUGGUGGUGAAUCAAGAGGCUCAGUUCUUCAUGCCGCCCACUUACCUGUGGGCAUUUUCUAGGAUUCAGAUUGGUUCCCCCUUCUUUCCAGGUCAUCCCUCAGUGAUCUCACCCCUUCUCAUAGUGUCAGGUCUGGCAUUUUUGCAGGUGACCACAAAAUCUAUGAUCGCCAACUUCAACUUCCCUCCCGAGAGCCAAUCCUACAGAGCCAAAUGGUCACUGGAAAUGCUCUAGGUGGAUGGCAUGCAUUAUGAAAUGUACUCUUCUAUCGAAACUCACCCAGGCCACACUUCCAUCUUUAUGCAGGCACCACAUGCAUGGCCUAAGCAGGGUGUGGGCUCUACGUGUCCAGGUCAUACUUCUAACUCUGUGACUUGGGCAAGCCGUUUACAGACACCGAGCUUGAGAUGGAGAUGGAGAAGACUUUUUCUAUAAAUGGAACUCUUGGCAGACUACCUGUUAAAUCACAGACAUUCAAUAAACAAUGUCAUUCGUCCCAUCCUUGAGCUUGUUUGGAAUUUAUAUAAUGCCUUUAGCUCUCAGAUUAUCUUUUGUGUCUAUUACACAGAGUUUUCAAAUACAGAAUGAAGAAGAGCAUAAAGAGCUGACUGUCCAGUGACCUUCUGGACAUUGAGACUUGUUUUCCCAUCGAGUUCCUUUAUUAAUUUGGAGAUAACUUCGACUGGAAACCAGAGUAACUUAAGUUAUCCCAAAACUAUAGGUAAGAAUGCAGCAGUGCCUGAAGCAUAAGAAGAGCCGUGAAAUGUUUCUGAUAAAGUAGUAUUAAUCCAUUGUUCACAUAAAAAUAUCUGGAAACUGAAAACACCAUGUCUAAAUUGUGGAAAACAGUACAAAACAGGAAGUUCCUUCUUAUCAGAUUUGGGACAUUUUCUUACUAAUUUUAAGGUACGUUAGCACUGGUGGUUUCACAGCUAACCAAGGCACAGUUUCUAUUUUAGCUUUCUUUUCAGAGCUUCCUUGGACCUUUUAAAGAAUUUACCUCCCUUCAGAGACUACAGUUAUACUUUUGACCACGGGAUGGAGUGAAAAUAAACAACCAAACAAACCAAAGACCCUGGAGGAGGGAGAUCAAGAAAAUAAAAAAUGCGAAGACAAGUGAAAUGGAUCGGGAAGGCCUGGAACUCAAGUAUGGGAAGUAAAAUUUCCAAUUCUCACGUGUCCUUCCUAGAGCCAGUACUGACAACAGAUCCCUGCUCAGGCCCUGCCUGUCUUUGUCACUGUUUUUGUCAUUGUUGUGGUGGUUUCCGAGCUUUUCUAUCUCCAGAAACUUAGUGCUUCAACAACGACAGUAAAGUGAAGGCGAAGCUAUUUCUUUCGAAUUAGGCUCCCCUCUCUAGAGCAAAAUUGCCAUCGAGAGAGAAACCCUAAGAUUAGUGAGACUAAGGAGGGAUGGUGCUACCACAAUCUCUGCAAUUUCUCUGUGGGAGACGGAGAAGAUAUGAAAUUAUUUCCUUUUACACAGCCAGGAAAACAAUGAAAGACUGGUUAUAUUAUGUGCUCCCCCCCAAAAUAAACAUAAUGAUGCUUUCUUAAGUGGUGCCUUGCUCUAUGACCAACGUGCAAGUCAUGAGUUUCCUGGGUAAGAAAAAUAUAUGGACCACACACACGCAGCUAUCCCUUAGAUGUGCGGCUUAAAGAAAGAACUGAUGGAAUAAAACAUCUUCAGCUUAUGGUAGAUAUCGUGCUUCCCUGAGAGAUGAAAGAACUUUAACACUGGAAAGUUCUAACUUUAGAUCUUUUAAGGCUCCAGUGGGCAACAGCCAUGUAGCAUACUAUAAACAGACCACGACCUCUACAUCAGGGAAAAGAGACUGAUAUUUAUAGGCUCUUCCACAGAGAUUCUCUAGAGCCUAGCUUAAUUUCAAUCAUCUCUCUGUGUAGUAACAAAAAAAAAAUGUAUCCAUGGAAAUGUGUACUAGAAACCUGGUUCCCUGUCUUUUACACAUGAGGUUACCACUGCCAGUACCUUCUUAUAUUCUAGAAGGAGAGGUUCAAAGAAUGGCUGGAUAUUGUACAAGCGAUGCAGACAUUAGAAAAGGGAUUGGGUUUGAUGAACUUGGAGGUCCUUGUCCACCCUAGGAUGCUGGGGUUCUGUGUCUUCCUCUUUAUUCAGCUGUGAUGACACUUUUCAUGUUUCCACGUUCUAGAAGGUCAUUCCUCUAGGACCAUGGCCAGUGGGAAAUGUGUGUAUCUGCGUGUGGAGUUAGUGUGUGUGUGUGUGUAAAAAUAAUUCAGGAGAAAAUUAACCAAUCUGCACAUUCAAUAGAAAAUAACCAAUUAAUAAACUGAUUCAUCUUGGUAUUAAAACAUUCAACUCCACAGGAUACUGUGUAAACCUAACCCAGUCAAUACCACCCAGAAACUUAGGUGUCUCAUACGAGGCGACCAGGGCCAAUUUGCAAUUGGAAAAAUGAAAACUAGAAGCCAGAGUCAAAAUGUUACAUGAGGACACAGGUCUCUGGCAUUGGUGUUCCACGAUUUUCUCAGUAAACUCCCAUUUCUUCAUGCUGGUGACAAAGACCACUUAAGGCCGAAGUUCCAACCUGCAAGGGACGGUCAUCAUGACGGCCUGGGGGGAAUCCAGAACGAGAGAGGUGGUCGCUGUAAUGCCAAGAAAG